rnacentral:lncRNA from 1 species
CGACGUCGAAGUAAAAGGAGGUGCAGGAAUUCCAGUGAAUUCUUGAACCAUGGCUCGGAAAUUAGUUGUAUCGGUAGUUAAAACAGUAGUUGGUGCACGUCUAGAUGCUCUGGAUCUUUUUUUUGGAUUACGACCAAUAUUGGUGGUGGUUUGAUCGGUAGAUGUGGAAGCAGAAGGUCUUAGUGUAGUUUCUGAGGGUUGAGGGAUUUGAACUGAAGGAAAAUGAGGUUUAUUUUGUGAUUGGUUGGUGAGAAAUUGCUGGGUUGGAGAAGAUGAGUCUAUUAAAGCAGAAAGAUCAGUGCAGUUGGUUUCAGAUCUUAAAUUUUUAGACCAGACCAUAUCAAGGUUAAGAAAUGGGUUUGUGAGUUGGGAAGGUAGUGAUCUAGUUGAUACAAAACAGACAAACACUAAAGACUAAACCCAUUCCCUACGUUGCAGUAAAUUACAUUUUUUUUGUUUUUCUUCUUGAAUUGUUUUAUUUUAUAUAUUAAUGUCAAAUAAUUUUAAAAAACAAAAUAAAAACUCAUGCAAGUGUGAUGGUACGAGGAAGAAACGUCCUUACAUAAUAUGGGCGUAUGUUAUAUUUAUUUUAUGUCCGUUAGAUCACAUUCUUGAUUCUUCUUACAAUAGUCAAACUCAAUAACUAAAAUACAUGACUAAAAUAAACCAAUUAAACAUUAAGAAAAAAAAUAAAUAAGCCAUGAAAUAUGUAAUAGGAUGUAUGAAAAUGGCCAAAUAAUAAUAAUAAUAAUAAAAGAGAAACAGAAAAAUAGAGAAACUAUAUAUUAUUUACAUUAAUUGAAAGAAAAAAAAAAUAGUAAUAAUGACAAAACAAUGUUCAUAUAAUUAUGUUGAAAGUCAUGGUUAAGAUGGAGAGACAGAAAAAAUAUUCUUCUCUUUCAUGCAUCAAAGAUACUCACCAUCAUUUCUUUUCUUUUCAUUCUCUUUGUGAUGGUCUAAUUAUGAUAAAACUUUCUUGAUAAUAAUCAUAAUAGUAGUAAUAAUAUUAGUGAUUAUGAUUUAAUAUAACUAGUCUGAAGAACAAAUCCAUGAUUCCACCAUACCUUCACUUCUUGUUGCCACAUUAAUCUCUGUUCCUUUAUCACUGUUACUAACUCUUGCAGAGUUAUUACUGUAAUUGCCAUUAAUAGACCUUAACAGCCCUUGUUGAUCACUCUCGUUAUUUGACCCGCCACCCCGGCCGCCGCUGCCAAGGCUGAUCACGCCAUCUCCUCCCCAGUUGUCAUUUCUUCUCAAUGUUGCAUCAGGUGAUGUCACUAUAUUUUGAAGCCCUGUAAGGUUUGUAGGACUAGUCACAUGGCCAUGCCCAUGGCUUAAACCGAACUCUUGUAUAACUCCCAUUUCUUGUUGCGGUUUAGUGGAGCCAAUAAUGGAAGAAUUUCCAAGUGGGUAUUUAGGUAGAAGAGAGUGAAGAUUAAAAAUUGGGUUUUGCAAAUUUAUGUCUAGGAGAUUAGUGUUAAUAUUCUGCGGCGAAUGAGAACAAGUGUUGUUGUUAGUUGAUGAAGAAGAUGAAAAAGGUGUUUGAAUUUUCUGUGCGGCAGGUCUUAAAAGGUAAUUAGGAGACGGCGAAGGGUCAAAAUGGGUAGAAGCUGAUCUUAAAGAAGAAGUGCCAAAUAGAUCAAGUCUAGUUCUUUGAAACGACGUCGAAGUAAAAGGAGGUGCAGGAAUUCCAGUGAAUUCUUGAACCAUGGCUCGGAAAUUAGUUGUAUCGGUAGUUAAAACAGUAGUUGGUGCACGUCUAGAUGCUCUGGAUCUUUUUUUUGGAUUACGACCAAUAUUGGUGGUGGUUUGAUCGGUAGAUGUGGAAGCAGAAGGUCUUAGUGUAGUUUCUGAGGGUUGAGGGAUUUGAACUGAAGGAAAAUGAGGUUUAUUUUGUGAUUGGUUGGUGAGAAAUUGCUGGGUUGGAGAAGAUGAGUCUAUUAAAGCAGAAAGAUCAGUGCAGUUGGUUUCAGAUCUUAAAUUUUUAGACCAGACCAUAUCAAG